UACGUAGGUGGCGAGCGUUGUCCGGAUUUACUGGGCGUAAAGAGCGCGCAGGCGGUCGUACAAGUCGCGUGUGAAAGCCCCCGGCUCAACUGGGGAGGGUCACGCGAUACUGUUCGACUUGAAGGCAGGAGAGGGAAGUGGAAUUCCCGGUGUAGUGGUGAAAUGCGUAGAUAUCGGGAGGAACACCAGUGGCGAAGGCGACUUCCUGGCCUGUUCUUGACGCUGAGGCGCGAAAGCUAGGGUAGCAAACGGG
rnacentral:rRNA from 1 species